rnacentral:rRNA from 1 species
GGACGAACGCUGGCGGCGUGCUUAACACAUGCAAGUCGAGCGGUAAGGCCCUUUCGGGGGUACGACGAGCGGCGAACGGGUGAGUAACACGUGGGUGACCUGCCCUCAGCUCUGGGAUAAGCCUGGGAAACCGGGUCUAAUACUGGAUAUGACUCCAUGACGCAUGUUGGUGGGGUGGAAAGCCUUGUGCGGCUGAGGAUGGGCCCGCGGCCUAUCAGCUUGGUUGGUGGGGUGANGGCCUACCAAGGCGACGACGGGUAGCCGGCCUGAGAGGGCGACCGGCCACACU